rnacentral:lncRNA from 1 species
GUUCGUUUUCGUUCAUCAUGAGGCAGUCAUGUUAUCUUUGACUAGGUUGACCGACUUGACAACCAUUACAGAAUUCCACACAAAAUCUUUCAACUUCUUGUGCGACUGCAUUCGCAAAAAUUCCUUCCAAUAAAUUGUAAGAUGUGGUUUUAACGCCAUGACUGAUGUAGAACUAAGCGUUGUCAAAUACAGAACUACGCCUAUCACAAGAAGCUUGUCGAUUUUAUACAGACACUUGUAUAAAAGUUCAUAAUAAGCCAAGAUUAAUCCCUCUAUUGUACCAAACACGUGGGGGGGGGGGACGCUAAAAAACGCGUUGUCAGCAAAUUUCGCCCGAUCGUGUUUAAGCAUGCCCGCGUGACGUCAUUGCAUAUAAUUAUGACGUAUGUUAAUGAUCAGUGACGUCAAUACUCCUCCUCACUCCUCCCCACUCCUCCUCCUCAUUUCUCCUCAUCCUCAUUUCUGCUCACUCCUCCUCCACACUCUUCCUCCCCACUCCUCCUCACUCCUCCUCACUUCUCCUCACUCCUCUUCAUUUCUCCUCACUCCUCCUCCUCACUCCUCCUCCUCACUUCUCCACCUCAAAAAUCCUACCCGAUCGGUACCUAUAUUACUACUGGCCCACCAGCUCACAAAUUUCAGCGCCGUCGAAACUACCCACAGUGACAUCAAAUAAACUGUUGCUUCCGUCUUUUUUUGUCCAUAAUUUGCCGUUGUCGAAAAGUAGAGAUUUUCUUGCAUGUUUCAUAAUUGAAAUAUCGUUUUCGGUGAUAGUAGCCAAAUCCGAAGCCCAGGCCAAUGCUUCGUUUAAAAGUUUUUCGGCAAAGGAUGGGCAAAAAUCCACAAUGUCAAACGAAAUAAAACUGUGCCUGUCUU